AACGAACGCUGGCGGCAGGCUUAACACAUGCAAGUCGAACGCAUCCUUCGGGGUGAGUGGCAGACGGGUGAGUAACGCGUGGGAACGUGCCCUUCAGUUCGGGAUAACCCAGGGAAACUUGGGCUAAUACCGGAUACGUGCGAGAGCAGAAAGAUUUAUCGCUGAAGGAUCGGCCCGCGUCUGAUUAGCUAGUUGGUGGGGUAAUGGCCCACCAAGGCGACGAUCAGUAGCUGGUCUGAGAGGAUGAUCAGCCACAUCGGGACUGAGACACGGCCCAAACUCCUACGGGAGGCAGCAGUGGGGAAUAUUGGACAAUGGGCGCAAGCCUGAUCCAGCCAUGCCGCGUGAGUGAUGAAGGCCUUAGGGUUGUAAGCUCUAUCGUCCGGGACGAUAAUGACGGUACCGGAAGAAGAAGCCCCGGCUAACUUCGUGCCAGCCGCCGCAGUAA
rnacentral:rRNA from 1 species